CUGUUUCUUAAGGGAGAUGCAAAGUGACCCUCACGCUCCCAGUACCUUCCAUGUCCUGAUGACAUUCCUUCAGAGCAUGAGCCAAAGUGAACCCUUACUUCCUUGAGCUGCUAAGUAUUACAUCACGGCAAAGAGAAAUAUAACUCACAGAACUCCAUGCUCGCUAGACACGGUGGUGGGAAGAUACUUGUCAUUGGACUUAAUGCCACCUAGCAAACCAAGAUGAUUUUGACCGGGAAGACUUAAUUGCAUCUCUGAAGACCACUUCCACUCCUACUAAGGUUACUUAAUAAGUGCUGAGUCUCGCACAGAAAUUCAACCUGCAUUCAACCCACCAUAGGGGACGCAAGACAGGAUUUCUCCAUAUAGCUCUGGAUGUCCUGGAACUCACUCUGUAAACUAAGCUGGCCUCAAACUCACAGUGUCUAUGAGUGCUGAGAUUCAAGGCAUGCACCACCACUGCCUGAAUUCUGUAUCACCUCCAGCUUUCUGUCCAAUGGCAUGGAGUAUUCAGGUGGAGGAGCAGGGUUGCCUGAAUAUGACGAUCUCCCACCCAGGAGCAGAAAACUCUGACUACCCUGCUGGCUGCUGGCUGCUGCCUCCUGGGGAUGCUCCCAGCCACUACGCUGGGGACUUAUCCAGGUAACUCUGCUGCCGCUGCCCAGCAGGAGGCUUUGGACCUGUUUGACUGUUCAGUACUCUGCUCAUCCCAUCUUCUGUCUCCAGCCAGCCAUCCUUGUUUAACUUUCUGGAAGAUGAAUGUCUCCUAGGUUGUCUUUGGAAUCCCAUUUCUUUGACUUAAAGAGGCUGACAGGGUGAGAGAAACAAAGGCUGUUUAGGAUUUGAUCUCCCCUGAUUGUUUCUCUCUCGGUAAAGAGGUAAAUAAAAGGGAGGGGGAAGAAAAGAAAGAAAAAGGAGCCUGGGCUCAGCUCACCAGCUGUGGGUCCCUGAUGGGCCUGCCUGACGCAGUCACAUUGUGCAGGGGCUGGAGCACCUGUGAGGAGUUAAUGAGAAAAAUCCAGAAGUGUGGCUCCCACAAGGGCUCCCUUUAGAGUCCCACAGGGAUGACCCCACCCCUCCCCUGGCAAGUUUCAAUGACAGGUGGGAUUAAUCUCAGCAGGCUGUCCUUUGGAGACACUCCAUCAUCUCCUUUCUAGCUGGAAAGAGGGGUUCACCAUGUCAAGUUCUAGUGGUUUUCCUUGGGAUUUUAGGGUUUGAAGCUGUUUCUCAAGGUAAAGCUAAAAACCACAAAUAAAACGUUAAGGCUCCCAGGGGUGUCCUCCAGUAACUCAGCUGCCUGAGUCAACACGAAGCUGUCUGAGAAUCAAGAAGUUAUUGGUAGUGAAGGUCAGUCGGUAUCUUUGCAUCUCAAAUGGGUAAACUGAGUCCCAUUGAAGGCCUUGGCCAGAUCACUGCAAGCAGUUCGGUGUGGGGAAGGGUGAAAUCACCUGCUGAAGGGCAGCGUGGCAUUAGGCAAAGCUAUAAAAAGCUUACAUAUCAGAUGAGGCAGAGGACUGUGACCGCCUGGAGAAUUGGUGGGAGGUGAAGCAGCUGGAGAAAUGUCUUAGUGAAGGCGGCCAUAAGCAAGGAUUGGACUUUGUUACGGUCCCUCUCCUUGGAGAUUAGAAUCAGACAAAAGAGGUAGGUAGGUAACUCACUUUGGGUUCAUGGUGUCAGAGCAUCUCUGUUGUGCCACAUGCUCUGGAAGGCACUGGCUGUGCUAACCCAUAUGUGCCACUGUGAGAAAAAGGUGUGCCAUGCUCCUCAAAGCCAUUGAUUGAGAACGUCAGAAGUCAGAGGACCUGAUUGGUAGAGGUAGAUUUUCUUCACGCCUGCUUCCAACUGGUGCAAGCUGCCACAAAUGUCUAUGUCCUUUGAGCAUGGACAAGGUGAUCCCUGUCCUGUGUUCCUCAGGAGUCUAGUAAGGAUCAA
rnacentral:lncRNA from 1 species